GGGGGGGGGGAGGAUACGUGCCCUUCAACUUUCUUGUGAAGAUACGAGGUGGCCCAUCUAUUUUGUUCUUUGCAGAGGUUCAUCCAGAUUGUAGAGAGGAGGAGGAUGUGUAUCUUUGCGCCCCCUUGGAAGCUAAUGACUCGGGUUUCUGCUAUGGAUGCGAGGACCAUGCAAAAGAGCUAAUGCAUCCCACUAGCGGUAGCUACUUGGGUGGGCACAAGGAUGUUGUUUUCCCCUUCAUUUACAAAAGUGAUGAAGAAAGCGGGGACGAGGCCUGAUUUCGUUUGGUUUGGAUUAGUUCUUGUGUUGGCCGCAAUGUGAUGUGCUAGUGGUUGCGAAUGACAAAAAUGGUGUGGUGGAUUAUGACAAGGUCUCGUUAAGUACUGGCA